rfam:Lupinus angustifolius cultivar Tanjil chromosome LG17, whole genome shotgun sequence.
UUUUAGGGGAAUGUUGUCUGGCUCGAGGACUCUUUCAUCUUUAAUCAAUAUACUUGAUUAAGAAAUUUAUAGUGUUGUCGGACCAGGCUUCAUUCCCCUGAAC